AUGGAUGCCACAGCCCUUCAUUAUGAAAACCAGAAGUUGGUGCAGCAAUUGGAAGCACAGAAGUCUGAAAUGCAUGUGUUGGAAGCUAAGUUCAAGGAGUUGAGGAAUGAACAAUCUUCUUAUGACAAUACUUUGAUUUCCCUGGAUAAGAUGUGGAAUCAGCUUGUUGAUGAUUUAAUCUUGCUUGGAGUUCGAUUUGGUGGCGGUUUGAAUAAUUUGCCUGCACUUGACCAUGAAGAGUUGUCAGAAGAAUCUAUCGAGUCAUGUCCUUCUGAGGAAAUUUUUCUCUUCAUGCUCUUGAAGUCCAACAAUUAUGGAAAAAAGGACGACAAUAGCUUGUUGGAAUUCGCUGAAGAAGCUCUUGCUUUGCGCCGUUCGGCAACUCUUGCUCUGAUGAGGUCCCUUCAAGAGGCUAUUGCUGCACAACAGGCUAGAAGUGAAUAUUUGUCAUUAGCUUUAAAUGGAGAGAAGUCAAAUGAAGAUGUUGUUGUUGCCCUCCAAAACCACAAUGAUCACUUGAAAGAGGUGGUUGGCAAUGUCCGUGAAGCUAUUUCUAUCGUCAAUGGGAAGCAUAAAAGGUAUCUGGAUGAGAUUGAGGCUUUCAAAAGCAGCUACUCAAAAGAAUUGCAGGAAAUCAAGCAUCUUUCAGGAGAGCUAGAGGAAACCAUGGCAGAGCUUGAGGAAAGUCGACGGAAGUUGGUUAUUCUCCAGUUGCAGAGGCAUGGAAGUUCGCUAAUGAACAUGUCUGGUCCAAACGCUGUGAAUGGUGCUGUUUCGGCUGAUAAAUCUUCAGAUGAAAACAUGGGCUGGGGAGAUCUUAAAGAUGCUGUUGACGAAGCUAAGACCCUUGCAGGAAACCGCCUGCUUGAACUCCAUGAGACUCAAGAGGAUAAUCUAAUACUGUCUAACCAGUUAGAAGAUCUGCAGGCUCAGUUAAAAGAUGAUAACUAUAUUUUCACAUCAAAACCAUAUACAAUUCUUAGCGACAAGUUACAUCAUAUGAAUGCUGAGAUAGAACGAUACAAGGGUUUGGUUGAAGUAUUACAGAAUGAUAAGAACCAGUUCUUGCAAAGGGAGAAAGAAAUGUGUGCAAAAGGAGAAUCCGUCGACAAUAUUGAACAAUCCAUUACCGCUUAUGAGGCCAAAAUCGAAGAACUGGAACAUCAGAUUCUGAAAUCCAUGGCUGAGAAGAAUGAUCUUGAGAUCAAAGUUGAGGAAUCAUUGCAAGAUUCAGGUAAAAAAGACUUCAAGGAUGAGAUUCAUGUCAUGGCUGCAGCACUCUCUAAAGAGAUGGAAAUGAUGGAGAAUCAAUUGAAUAGAUCAAAGGAUGCGGCUUCUGAAGCACUUGCAUUACGUGAAGAAGCUGAAUCGUUGAGAACCUUGUUAGCUAAGAAGAUCAGUGAGCAGAAGGAAAUAUCUGAUAGAUACAACGCACAAGUCUCUGAGAUCAAGUCCCUCAAAGAAUUGAUUGAGACGUUGGAAAAGGAAAAUCAGGAGUUGGAAUUUAUUGUGGAUAUGUAUGGGAAAGAAUGUUCUGAGUCGAGGACAAUUACAGAGAUCAAGGAAUCAGAAAAUCGAGCUCGCAAGCAGGCUGAAUAUUUGAGAACUAGUCUAGAGGAGCAUAGUCUUGAGCUUCGUGUAAAAGCAGCAAAUGAAGCCGAAACUGCAUGCCAGAGAAGGCUUUGCAUUGCUGAAGCAGAACUGGAAGAGUUAAGGACCGAUGUAGAUGCAUCUGAAAGAGAUGUUCUGGAACUCAAGGAGGCAAUAAGAAUUAAAGAAGCGGAAGGAGAUGCUUAUAUCUCUGAAAUUGAGACAAUUGGUCAAGCAUAUGAAGACAUGCAGACACAAAACCAGCAUCUUCUUCAACAGGUUGCCGACAGAGAUGAUUUUAACAUAAAGCUAGUAUCAGAUAGUGUGAAGACAAAGCAAGCCUCUGCUUCCCUUCUCUCUGAAAAGCAUUUGUUACAGAAGCAACUCCAUCAGGUUAACAGUUCACUGGAGUCAUCUAAACAAAAACUCUCCCGUGGUGAAGAGCAGAUGAAAGCCUAUGUCGCACAAGCUAUAAAAACUUCUUCAGAGAACAGGCAUCAUGCAAUUACCAUUGAAAAGACUCUGCUGGAGGUAUCUGAAGCAGAGAAGGAGCUCAAGUGGCUUCGGUCCGCCGUUGGAUCCUCUGAGAAAGAAUAUGAGCAAAACCAGAAAAAAAUAGCUGAGCUCAGAACGGAGCUGGAGCGUGAGAGAAGCGAGAAGAGAAAGCUCGAGGAAGAAUACGAGGAGGUGAAGAAUGAAGUCGCGGAGCUGACCUCCGAGAACGAAGAGGCUACUAUCCAGAAGCUCCAGGACGAGAUAAAAGAAUGCAAGGCUAUUCUCAAGUGUGGCGUGUGCUUUGACCGACCCAAAGAGGUUGUGAUCACCAAAUGCUUCCAUCUAUUCUGCUCAACAUGUAUCCAGAGGAACCUUGAGCUACGCCACCGGAAGUGCCCAGGCUGUGGCACCCCUUUCGGGCAAAACGACGUGCGAGAGGUGAAGAUCUGA
rnacentral:rRNA from 1 species